GGGAAUAUUGGACAAUGGGGGCAACCCUGAUCCAGCCAUGCCGCGUGAGUGAAGAAGGCCCUCGGGUUGUAAAGCUCUUUUGUCCGGAAAGAAAAGCAUUCGGUGAAUACCCGGAUGUUCUGACGGUACCGGAAGAAUAAGCACCGGCUAACUUCGUGCCAGCAGCCGCGGUAAUACGAAGGGUGCAAGCGUUACUCGGAAUUACUGGGCGUAAAGCGUGCGUAGGUGGUUGUUUAAGUCUGAUGUGAAAGCCCUGGGCUCAACCUGGGAAUGGCAUUGGAAACUGGGCAGCUAGAGUGCGGUAGAGGGUAGUGGAAUUCCCGGUGUAGCAGUGAAAUGCGUAGAGAUCGGGAGGAACAUCAGUGGCGAAGGCGACUGCCUGGACCAGCACUGACACUGAGGCACGAAAGCGUGGGGAGCAAACA
rnacentral:rRNA from 1 species